AACAGCCGCGGUAAUUCCAGCUCCAAUAGCGUAUAUUAAAGUUGUUGCAGUUAAAAAGCUCGUAGUUGAAUUUCGGGAUCAAUAUGUUUGGUCGUGCCUCGGUACGUACUAGCUUAUUGGUUUCUCCUUUCUGAAGAACCAUGAUGUCAUUCAUUUGGUGUCGUGGGGAAUCAGGACUGUUACUUUGAAAAAAUUAGAGUGUUUAAAGCAGGCUCACGCUUGAAUACAUUAGCAUGGAAUAAUGAAAUAGGACGUUUGAUUCUAUUUUGUUGGUUUCUAGGAUCGACGUAAUGAUUAAUAGGGAUAGUUGGGGGCAUUAGUAUUCAAUUGUCAGAGGUGAAAUUCUUGGAUUUAUUGAAGACUAACUACUGCGAAAGCAUUUGCCAAGGAUGUUUUCAUUAAUCAAGAACGAAAGUUAGGGGAUCGAAGACGAUCAGAUACCGUCGUAGUCUUAACCAUAAACUAUGCCGACUAGGGAUCGGAUGAUGUUAA
rnacentral:rRNA from 1 species